rnacentral:rRNA from 1 species
AGUUUGAUCCUGGCUCAGAGUGAACGCUGGCGGCAGGCCUAAUACAUGCAAGUCGAGCGGCAGCACAGCAGAGCUUGCUCUGUGGGUGGCGAGUGGCGGACGGGUGAGGAAUACAUGGGAAUCUGCCCAGUCGUGGGGGAUAACGUAGGGAAACUUACGCUAAUACCGCAUGCGCCCUUCGGGGGAAAGCCGGGGACCUUCGGGCCUGGCGCGAUUGGAUGAGCCCAUGUCGGAUUAGCUAGUUGGCGGGGUAAUGGCCCACCAAGGCGACGAUCCGUAGCUGGUCUGAGAGGAUGAUCAGCCACACUGGAACUGAGACACGGUCCAGACUCCUACGGGAGGCAGCAGUAGGGAAUAUUGGACAAUGGGCGCAAGCCUGAUCCAGCCAUGCCGCGUGAGUGAAGAAGGCCCUCGGGUUGUAAAGCUCUUUUGUCCGGAAAGAAAAGCGCCGGGUUAAUACCCUGGUGUCCUGACGGUACCGGAAGAAUAAGCACCGGCUAACUUCGUG